rnacentral:tRNA from 1 species
GCGGGCGUGCCGAAAUCGGUAGACGGAAGAGUCUUAAAAACUCUCGCCCCUCGGGGCAUGCGGGUUCAAGUCCCGCCGCCCGCA